rnacentral:rRNA from 1 species
ACAAAGUCUAGCCUGCCCCCUGGGUCACUAAAGGGCCGCGGUAAACUGACCGUGCGAAGGUAGCAUAAUCAUUAGCUUUUUAAUUGGAAGCUGGAAUGAACGGCUGAACAAGAAGCAAACUGUCUCUUUUAUGGUAAUUGAAUUUUACUUUUAAGUGAAAAGGCUUAAAUUUUACGAAGGGACGAUAAGACCCUAUAAAACUUUAUAACUUCCUAAAUGUGGUUAGAAAUUAAGUUAAGAAGAUUAUAUUUUGGGGUUAUUGUGUUGGGGCGACUGAAAUAUAAAUAUAUAAACUGUUUUUUAAAAAAAAUAAUUAUUAUUAGUUUAGAUGAUCCCUUAUUAAGGAUUCAAAGAUUAAGUUACUUUAGGGAUAACAGCGUAAUUUUUCCUGAGAGUUCAUAUCGACGGAAUUAGUUGCGACCUCGAUGUUGAAUUAAGAUGUUAUCUGGGUGUAGCAAUUUAGAUGGUGGGUCUGUUCGACCCU